rnacentral:misc_RNA from 1 species
AGCAGCCGCGGUAAUUCCAGCUCCAAUAGCGUAUAUUAAAGUUGUUGCAGUUAAAAAGCUCGUAGUUGAAUUUCGGGAUCAGUACGCUGGUCAUGCCUUUGGUAUGCACUGGUGUCACUGGUUUCUCCCUUCUGAAGGUCCGUGAUGUCAUUAAUUUGGUGUCGCGGGGAAUCAGGACUGUUACUUUGAAAAAAUUAGAGUGUUUAAAGCAGGCUCACGCUUGAAUACAUUAGCAUGGAAUAAUGAAAUAGGACGUUUGACCCUAUUUUGUUGGUUUCUAGGAUCGACGUAAUGAUUAAUAGGGAUAGUUGGGGGCAUUAGUAUUCAAUUGUCAGAGGUGAAAUUCUUGGAUUUAUUGAAGACUAACUACUGCGAAAGCAUUUGCCAAGGAUGUUUUCAUUAAUCAAGAACGAAAGUUAGGGGAUCGAAGACGAUCAGAUACCGUCGUAGUCUUAACCAUAAACUAUGCCGACUAGGGAUCGGAUGAUGUUAAUUUUUUAAUGACUCAUUCGGCGCCUUA